AUUGAACGCUGGCGGCAUGCCUUACACAUGCAAGUCGAACGGCAGCACGGGUGCUUGCACCUGGAGGCGAGUGGCGAACGGGUGAGUAAUACAUCGGAACAUGUCCUGUAGUGGGGGAUAGCCCGGCGAAAGCCGGAUUAAUACCGCAUACGAUCUACGGAUGAAAGCGGGGGACCUUCGGGCCUCGCGCUAUAGGGUUGGCCGAUGGCUGAUUAGCUAGUUGGUGGGGUAAAGGCCUACCAAGGCGACGAUCAGUAGCUGGUCUGAGAGGACGACCAGCCACACUGGGACUGAGACACGGCCCAGACUCCUACGGGAGGCAGCAGUGGGGAAUUUUGGACAAUGGGCGAAAGCCUGAUCCAGCAAUGCCGCGUGUGUGAAGAAGGCCUUCGGGUUGUAAAGCACUUUUGUCCGGAAAGAAAUCCUUGGCUCUAAUACAGUCGGGGGAUGACGGUACCGGAAGAAUAAGCACCGGCUAACUACGUG
rnacentral:rRNA from 1 species